rnacentral:lncRNA from 1 species
ACUUGAUGGGUUAAACACAUAAAUUUAUCAUCUUACAAUUCUGUACAUUACAAUUCCAACAGAAGUCAAAAAUUCAACAAGUCAAAAAAAUCAAAGUGACAGCAGGGCUGGAUUCCUUUCUCGAGGCUAUGGGAGGAGAUCUUCUCUUGUCUUCAACUUUGUAGAGGCUAAUGGUUAAUGUAGAGGCCCCCUGGUUUGUGGGCCCUUCCUCCUUCUUCAAAGCCAGCACCGUCGCACCUCUCUGACUCUGACCUCAGCUGGGAAAGGUUCUCUGAGUUUAAGGACACAUGAUUAGAUUGCCACUCCUCCCGACAAUUCAGGAUCAUCUCCCCGUUUUCGGGUCCUUAUCUUAAUCACGUCUCCGGAGUCCCUUUUGCCAUAUCAGGUUCUGGAGAACUCUGACCACCCCCUUCUUUUACUGCCUAUGUCAACUCAGGGGACUUGGGCAUGACUAGUAGCAGAGAUCAGUGGUUCCACGCCCGUAUGGCAAGAGCCCCCCAGUACAUAGUUGUAUAUUUUAGUUGUGAGUGCCUCUGGUUGUGCUAUGUGGGACGCAGCCUCAGCAUGGCCUGACAAGCGGUGCCAUAUCCGUGCCCAGGAUCCAGACCAGCGAAACCCCAGGCUACCGAAGCAGAGCGCGCAAACUUGACCAGCUGGCCAUGGGGCCGGCCCCUAUUCUACUUUUUGAACAAGAGACCCCACGUUUUAUUUUGCACUGGGUCUAGCAAAUUAUGUAGCUGGCCCUGGCUUGUACAUUGCUAGUGGGAAUGUAAAAUGGUAUGACCAUUUUGGAAAACAAUUUGAUGAUUUCUUGUAAAAUCAGCCUUGCAUUUACCAUAUGACCUGUGGGAAAGAGAGGCUGAUUGAGCUAACUUGGUCACAUUUGCACCCUACUGAAGAAAGUGAAAGAGAUCUUAUGAUUGACACCCCCACUAGAAGCACAUGGAAAGGAAGAGGAAUGAUUCCCCAAAUUAAUGGAGAAAGGGAUGCCGAGCAAGCAAAAAUAACGUGGGCAGAAGAUGAGUGAGGAGAGAGUGAGAGAGGUAUGAAAGGUGAGAAUAUUCUAUGGUAGAUAGCAGAGCUCAAAUGUAAGAUUCCUGCCAACCUCACUGAAGCCCUUAUCGAGUUCAAGUCCACAUCAAGUCCACUAUCAAAAAAUGGCUUGUUUCUGCAAAGAAUUGCUUGUAAACUAUACCUGAGGACUAAAUUUGGAUGAUAGACACAACCACCUAGUGGCCUCUGGUCCCUAGGAGUAUAGGAUUAUUAAUGAUUUUGCUUAAGAGUAAUAUAACCAAGAGGCAGAGUUGGCUCGGAUUCCUAAAAUGAUAAUUCAUGAUGAACAAACAUGAGGCCCAUUAAGUGCCUGAGAUUUUGUGUUCCUCCCCAAAAGUUUGGUUUCAUCCUUUGAAAGCCAGUUCACUGAUACUCAAUGUCCCUGCUGUGGACCUUUCUGGAAGCUUCAGGGACUGACUGCUUAUUCUCUACUGGGGGCACAAAGAGAAACAGCCUAUGUAGGUGGGUGGUCCUAGACCCCAGGACAGUGGAAGAAAGAGAGGGCAGUGCCAUUCUGCCCUUAUUCUGAGUGUGUAGCCCUCUCCUGCCGUGUUUAGCAGUCUGGCCAAUCUGAAGAGCCUCCAGUUGUAAAUUUGGAGAACUACAGUCUAUUUAUGGCACUUGCACUGGCCUUUUGUUUGACUUGGGCAAAUUAUUCACUUUUAUUUACUUCAGUUUCUUCCAAAAUAAGCAUAAGUAAUUCUCACCCAACCUACGUUCCAGGUGGUUUGAAUAUCAAAUGAGACAAUAAGCCUGAAAUCUCUUUGGGCAAAUGAAUUGUCAUAGAAAAUUAGGAUGAUGUGCUGAUUAUUGUUCCAUUCCAGAGUGGAGCUGGCACCCUCCUCUUCCCUUCCGUAUUACUGGCAAUGAGAGAGGAUCAAAUUAGGAUCAUAAUCAGAUUUGGGGGAUUAACUUUCAAUAUACUGCUAUUCAUGAAAUAAGGAUCAGAGAGUUUGGUGGCUACACCAGCUUCCUGAAAACCUAGGAGCCACUCUGAAUCCAGAGAGGCAUUAGUUGUUAAAGAUCAGAGAUGGAAUAUUUUAACAAUGAUACAAGGCAGCUUCUUUUCUCUUGCCUCACAACAUCACUAAAACAAACCAACCAACCCAAAAAACAAAAAUGAAAACCUUUAACAGAUUCUCAGAAACACAGACUUUGCAGAAAAGCUGUAGGAGACAAAGGGUCAAUGAGCAGGGAUAAAAAUAGCAUGGUGCAUUUAGAAAGGAGAAAUAGAGACCUCAGUAUCACACUGCAGACACUUACUGAGAACAAAUAAUGAACAAAAGUAUCGCAAGGCUAAGCCAAAUGGAUCAUGAAUUGGAUAUGAGUCAGCAACAAAAGUCCUUUAAUUAAGCUCAGGACUGGAUACAAUGUUAAUAAUAGUUUAUGCUGAUGUUCAUGAAGCACUCACGAUGUGCCAGGGACUUUCAGUGCAUACGUGCAUUAUCUCAUUUUAUCCCACUAGGUCGAUGCGAUUGCUAUUCAUAUUUCACAAAUAAGGAAAAUGAUGACUAGAAAGUUAAAAGAUUUGCACAAGUCCUCCUAGCCAUGAUAUGCCAAUCUGGGACUUGAGCUGAUAUCUGUCACCAAGGACUGUGUUCCCAAUCACUAUUGUAAAUUGACUGUCAGAGAGCUUCUUGCUCAUAUAGAACACAGGUUGCAGUUCUGGGCUUUGGCAAAGGGGCUUGGCAAAUCUUAGGAGGAUUCAAAGGAUUGCAGUGAAGGAAAUGAGAUUAUUUAACCUGGAGAAGGGAAAGCUAUAUGAUCCAUAGCAAUGUUAACUUAUCUGAUGGCAGUUGGGAUCAAGGAAUAGAAAAUCAGUGCAGGUGGUUUUAGAGAGCAAAGGAGGAUUCAGAGUAAACCAGGAUCAGACUGUGAUUGUUUCUAGAAGUGAAGGCUGCUAAAUAUCUCUGGCAGCCAGGGAGGUGUGCCAUUCAAAAGAACCUGCUGUGGGGAGUGUCGCUGACUGCCAGCCUCCAGUUGUCACACCUUUGGGUCUGCGGGCACUCAGGCCCAGGCCAUGCUUCCUGCAGACUGCCCCUGAGCCAAUGACUGAGCCUGAGGCGGUACAAGACCUGGGCCAUCCCUGACCAGUGGGGCACUCCUCUGUCAGCCUUGACGACUCCCCACCUGAGAGUCUCAGAACUACACUGCAGUCUGAAGCUUCUCCGGCUCAAGCCUCCUUCCUUUGCCACCUGCCUACUUUCUUAAAGAUCAGACCUACAUCUAGGUAGCCUGCAGGUUCUCCUCGCCCACCUCUGCUCCCUCCCUCUCCAGCCUUA